GCGUCCAUAGCUCAGCUGGAUAGAGCACAGGCCUACGAAGCCUGGGGUCGGAAGUUCGAAUCUUCCUGGACGCG
rnacentral:tRNA from 1 species